UCCCCGGCCUGGCCUCAGUGCCAGGGUGCGUUGCUUGGGCCUUGGUCCAACUUCUGCAGCUCAUCGCUUUGUCUCUUGGAAUCACCCAGAACCAGGCAGCCUGCGCGCGGUGUGACCACCCAGUUUACCAAGCUGUCUGUCACCCAGUUGUCAUUUAGUCUCACUGUGUGUCUGUGUGCAGCCGACGGAUCAGAAAGUGGGUCUCGGGCUCCCUCUGAAGUGAAGUCUGUUCUUCCUUUUGGGACUGAUUCAUGGCUUCGCCACAGGAGUCGGACAUUGCCUCAUGCUGGUGGUAGACAUGGGCCUUUUGUGAGGCCAAGUUUAGACAAGAGCCCAAGGCACAACAAUCUGUCCAGUACUUCUUCCAUACUGUGAAGGAAAGCAGGGGCAGAUGCCAAGCCACGAUGCAAGUCUCUGCACUGAAAGAACGUCUGUCGUGAGUUUGUUUUGAAGCCAGAAACAGGCUGCCUCAAACUGCAGGCGCUGACUGGAGGCCUGGAGGAUGUGCAGCUGAAGUCUGGUGAAUCUUCUAUUUGUGGGAUGUUCCUGGAAAGCCACAAACCAGAACUUCUUGUGUUCCUCAGAGAAUGAACCCGAUUCCCACACUGACAAACCAUCCGAAUCUCAUGGUUGGCUCCAGGGAGUUGGUGGUAUCUUGCUG